AGUAUGUGACACCAGCGGACUACCGGCUGCACUAAACAGGUAGGAUGGUGGCGACAGGACGCCCAGCGGGUUAGAGACCCGGUAGCUUGACAAGUCAGCGUCUCGGUAGUGUAAUGGCAACAUACCGGCCUCCAAAGCCGUGAGAUUAGGGUUCGAGUCCCUACCGAUUCGCCA
rnacentral:tRNA from 1 species